UGGCUGUCGUGGUCAUAAAUUUAGGAGGUUGCCUUUUAGCUUGGGCGUCGCUUCACAUUCCACUUGUGCAUGUGUGCCUUGCUCGGAGCUUCGGGUCGUCCAUCGUACUCGUGUGUGUAAACCACGAUUGCUACGGGGCGCUAAGCAAUGGAGAUGACACUUGAGGGAAGCAAUUCUGCAGAGACAUUUCCACCCGGAGCUGGCGGCGUGAGAAUACACCGUGACAAGAUACGCGAAGUUUCAAGCUUGUCUGGCGAUCAACUUUUUUGUU
rnacentral:SRP_RNA from 1 species